UGGGGAAUAUUGCACAAUGGGCGCAAGCCUGAUGCAGCCAUGCCGCGUGUGUGAAGAAGGCCUUCGGGUUGUAAAGCACUUUCAGCGAGGAGGAAGGUGGUGAGCUUAAUACGCUCAUCAAUUGACGUUACUCGCAGAAGAAGCACCGGCUAACUCCGUGCCAGCAGCCGCGGUAAUACGGAGGGUGCAAGCGUUAAUCGGAAUUACUGGGCGUAAAGCGCACGCAGGCGGUUUGUUAAGUCAGAUGUGAAAAUCCCCGGGCUCAACCUGGUAACUGCAUUUGAAAACUGGCAAGCUAGAGUCUCGUAGAGGGGGGUAGAAUUCCAGGUGUAGCGGUGAAAUGCGUAGAGAUCUGGAGGAAUACCGGUGGCGAAGGCGGCCCCCUGGACGAAGACUGACGCUCAGGUGCGAAAAGCGUGGGGAGCAAAACAGGAUUAGAUACCCUGGUAGUCCACGCUGUAAAACGAUGUCGAUUUUGGAGGUUGUGCCCCUUGAGGCGUGGCUUCCGGAGCUAAACGCGUUAAAAUCGACCGCCUGGGGAGUACGGCC
rnacentral:rRNA from 1 species